rnacentral:rRNA from 1 species
GCUCAGUAAUGUUGCGCUGAUUUGCUCUAUGCGGGAAGAAUAACCACGGUAACCUGUGGCUAAGAGUGUAGAAUAAGGUGCAAUCCUAUUAGUUUGUUGGUAGUGUAAAGGACUACCAAGGCAGUGAUGGGUAACGGGAAAUCAGGGUUUGAUUCCGGAGAGGGAGCCUGAGAGAUGGCUCCCACGUCCAAGGAUGGCAGCAGGCGCGAAAAUUGUCCACUCUUUUGAGAGGAGACAGUUAUGAAACGUGAGUAGAAGGGUCGAGUGUAAAAACCUUGACGUGAAGCAAUUGGAGGGCAAGUUUUGGUGCCAGCAGCCGCGGUAAUUCCAACUCCAAGAGUGUCUAUGGUGGAUGCUGCAGUUAAAGGGUCCGUAGUCGUAGAUGCAAUUAAAAGGUGGUGUUAAAAGCCAUUGAGUUUGUUGAGAGUAGCGGAACGGAUAGGGAGCAUGGUAUAGGUGGGCAAAGAAUGAAAUCUCAAGACCCCACCUGGACCAACGGAGGCGAAAGCGAUGCUCUUAGACGUAUCUGGGGAUCAAGGACGAAGGCUAGAGUAUCGAAAGUGAUUAGACACCGCUGUAGUUCUAGCAGUAAACUAUGCCGACAAUGCUGGGUGUUGCGAGAGCGAUGCUUGGUGUGGGAGAAAUCUUAGUUUUCGGGCUCUGGGGAUAGUACGCUCGCAAGGGUGAAACUUAAAGCGAAAUUGACGGAAGGACACUACCAGGAGUGGAUUGUGCUGCUUAAUUUAACUCAACGCGGGAAAACUUACCAGGGUCAAGUCUAUCGUAGAUUGGAGACAUGAGGUAGACAAGAGUGGUGCAUGGCCGUUGGAAAUUGAUGGGGCGACUUUUAGCUUAAGUGCUGGAACCAGUGAGAUCUUCUAGACAGGUGUUAUUUAGGCACAGGAGGGAGAAGGCAAUAACAGGUCCGUGAUGCCCUUAGAUAUCCUGGGCAGCAAGCGCAAUACAAUAUCU